CACUGGGAACAGAAUGCUCUUUGUGUUUAAUGAUUGAUUCUGUAAGGGAGGAGACACCCACACAAUAGAACAACAGAUGAACAUGUUUUUGGCUACUGCUCACAUGGUGUUAAAGCACCCCGUACCAGUGAGAGUGGUCCAAAGCCACUGCUCCUGUGUUGCAGGAAGUGCGGGGUGCAAUCAUCUGGUAGCCCUUCUUUACCAGACAGCGCACUACUCUCAAUGAAACAUUCCUGCUGCACCACCAGUUCACAGCUGCACAGACACAGAACAGUGUUGGCACAAGCCAAGAACACUUGGUGUGAAGCCAGGUCCGGUUGAUGGGAUAGAGUUCCGUAAACCAACUAACUCGUGUGCUGAUGGAAUAAGGUAAGUUGGAGGUUCCUAGAAUGGAAACAUUUUAGAAAACAUUUU